rnacentral:rRNA from 1 species
UACGAAGGGGGGCUAGCGUUGCUCGGAAUCACUGGGCGUAAAGGGCGCGUAGGCGGCCAUUCAAGUCGGGGGUGAAAGCCUGUGGCUCAACCACAGAAUUGCCUUCGAUACUGUUUGGCUUGAGUAUGGCAGAGGUCAGUGGAACUGCGAGUGUAGAGGUGAAAUUCGUAGAUAUUCGCAAGAACACCAGUGGCGAAGGCGGCUAC